UACGUAGGGUGCAAGCGUUGUCCGGAAUUAUUGGGCGUAAAGAGCUCGUAGGCGGUUAGUCGCGUCUGCUGUGAAAACUCGGGGCUCAACCUCGAGAUGUCGGCGGAAACCAUCAGACUAGAGUCCGGAAGAGGAGAGUGGAAUUCCUGGUGUAGCGGUGAAAUGCGCAGAUAUCAGGAAGAACACCCGUGGCUAAGGCGGCUCUCUAGUACGGU
rnacentral:rRNA from 1 species